rnacentral:rRNA from 1 species
UGGGGAAUAUUGGACAAUGGGGGAAACCCUGAUCCAGCAACGCCGCGUGGAGGAAGAAGGCCUUCGGGUCGUAAACUCCUGUCAGGUGGGAGGAAACGGUGGAGGUAAAUAGCCUUCGCUCUUGACAGUACCACCAGAGGAAGCCCCGGCUAACUCCGUGCCAGCAGCCGCGGUAAUACGGAGGGGGCUAGCGUUAUUCGGAAUUACUGGGCGUAAAGGGCGCGUAGGCGGCUUCGCAAGUCGAAGGUGAAAUCCCCCGGCUCAACCGAGGAACUGCCUUCGAAACUGCGUCGCUUGAGGCCGGGAGGGGGUAGCGGAAUUCCCAGUGUAGCGGUGAAAUGCGUAGAUAUUGGGAGGAACACCGGUGGCGAAGGCGGCUACCUGGACCGGUUCUGACGCUGAGGCGCGAAAGCGUGGGGAGCAAACAGGAUUAGAUACCCCCGUAGUCC